UAGCUAGUGUCGGAGUUUUCGACGUUUUGUAUUCAGGUUGAAUACAAGUAUAGUGGAUUGAAAUUCCCAAGUAGGAGCUUGGAGAGUGGAUGUAGGUGCAGGGUUGGCACCGAACCACUAUAAAUCCUUGUGUUUGUGGUGUGCUUUAUCGCUUCACUUUAUUUCUUUAUUAUAUCCUUGCAUUCCUGUUUUAGGUAUUUAAUAUUGAAUUAAAAUCUUUAUCUUGUUCAUCAUAAGUAAUUAAUCAAUUCUUAAAAUUUUUAGAAACCCAAUUCACCCC
rnacentral:lncRNA from 1 species